GUAGGUGAACCUGCGGAAGGAUCAUUAACACGUACACGUUUUAAUAACCCGAGAAUUUCUUAGGAUUAGCUUAUUCGAGAAAAAGGGGGCUCUUUUUUUGCUCACGCUUAAAAAAGCUCCCCCGGCUCUUCUCGGUUCGAUCGACCUGAGCUGUGGCUAUUGAAUUAGCUUCCUAUGAAUAAACGACUCAUUUAUUUUAAACCAAGACUUUCGGGUCUUUUUUUAUAUAAAUGAAACUUGAAACCCCUUUUUUCUAAACCUAAAAGCCGUCUCUUUGUAGACCGCUUUUAACCGAAUGCUGUACAACUCUUAGCAACGGAUAUCUUGGUUCUG
rnacentral:misc_RNA from 1 species